rnacentral:rRNA from 1 species
GAUGAACGCUGGCGGCGUGCCUAAUACAUGCAAGUCGAGCGAACGGACGAGAAGCUUGCUUUUCUGAUGUUAGCGGCGGACGGGUGAGUAACACGUGGAUAACCUACCUAUAAGACUGGGAUAACUUCGGGAAACCGGAGCUAAUACCGGAUAAUAUUUUGAACCGCAUGGUUCAAAAGUGAAAGACGGUCUUGCUGUCACUUAUAGAUGGAUCCGCGCUGCAUUAGCUAGUUGGUAAGGUAACGGCUUACCAAGGCAACGAUGCAUAGCCGACCUGAGAGGGUGAUCGGCCACACCGGAACUGAGACACGGUCCAGACUCCUACGGGAGGCAGCAGUAGGGAAUCUUCCGCAAUGGGCGAAAGCCUGGCGGAGCAACGCCGCGUGAGUGAUGAAGGUCUUCGGAUCGUAAAACUCUGUUAUUAGGGAAGAACAUAUGUGUAAGUAACUGUGCACAUCUUGACGGUACCUAAUCAGAAAGCCACGGCUAACUACGUG